CAUUGUGGGCAGAAGGAUCCUCCUCGGAUCAUCACCGGAAUGAGUUUGGAAUGCUUCGAGCAGCACUGACCAAGCCUGGAGGAAGAGCCUGAGGAUCCCUGUGCUGCAGCAGCUUGGUGACCCCCCCAGCUCCGCGGCAGCUCUGCAGGAGGAAGACAUGGCACUGGGAAAUGCCCCUGGGCACAUGGGCUGAGCUACUAAGGACAGCAGCCUGGGCGCAGCUCCGAGCCACUCGGGCCAGCACAGGCACCUGCAGAUGUUGGUCCAGCCACGGAAUGGGUUGGGUUGGAAGGGACCUUAAAGGUUAUCAAGUGGAUUAGUGGCACCUGGGCAUGGCACGGGCACGUGAGACCAGAGGAGCAGGGCUGGAGUGCAGCAGAUGUUGCUCAUUCCCUUUGCAAAGAGGAGUCAGGGGGCAGGGCUGCCUCUGAGAGGUGAACCUGGACUCGCCUGCUCCUGGGUCAGAGAAUGGUUUGGGUUGGAAGGGACCCUGAAGAUCAACCAGUUGCAACCCCCUGCCCUGGGCAAGGACACCUCCCACCAGCUCAGCUUGCUCUAAGCCUCAUCCAGCCCAGGCUCAAACACUUCCAGGGGUGAAGCACCUACAGCUUCUCUGGGCAACCUGUGCCAGUGUCUGUCCAGCCUGCCAGUAAAGAAGCUCUCCCCAGUGUGCCCCUGCUCUAGUUCCAAAGCAUUGCCCUGCCCCUGUCACCACAGGCCCUUAUCCGUGAUGUAUGAGAGAGGAGCCCAAGGGAAGAGGGCUGGCACCGGGGCAGCAGCCGGGCAGGAGGCACCUCUGGCUGAGGUGGCUGUUCCCAGAGCCUG